UGGGGAAUAUUGAACAAUGGAGGGAACUCUGAUGCAGCGACGCCGCGUGAGUGAUGAAGGAAUUCGUUUCGUAAAACUCUGUUCUAUGGGAAGAAAAGGACUGUACCAUAGGAGAAAGCUCCGGCUAAAUACGUGCCAGCAGCCGCGGUAAUACGUAUGGAGCGAGCGUUGUCCGGAAUUAUUGGGCGUAAAGGGUGCGCAGGCGGCUUUACAAGUUGGAUGUGAAAUAUUGUGGCUCAACCACAAACGUGCAUCCAAAACUGCAAAGCUUGAGUUAAGGAGAGGUAAGUGGAAUUCCUGGUGUAGCGGUGGAAUGCGUAGAUAUCAGGAGGAAUACCGGUGGCGAAGGCGACUUACUGGACUUAAACUGACGCUCAGGCACGAAAGCGUGGGGAGCAAACAGG
rnacentral:rRNA from 1 species